rnacentral:rRNA from 11 species
UGACCGAUAGUGAACCAGUACCGUGAGGGAAAGGUGAAAAGAACGCCGAGAAGGCGAGUGAAAUAGUACCUGAAACCGUGUGCUUACAAGCGGUCGGAGCUGCAUUUAUGCAGUGACGGCGUGCCUUUUGUAUAAUGAGCCUACGAGUUACUCCUGUUGUGCGAGGUUAAGCCCCUGAGGGGUGGAGCCGCAGCGAAAGCGAGUCUGAAUAGGGCGUUCAGUACAGCGGGGUAGACGCGAAACCAAGUGAUCUAUCCAUGGUCAGGGUGAAGCGGUGGUAAGACACCGUGGAGGCCCGAACCGGUUGACGUUGAAAAGUCUUCGGAUGAACUGUGGAUAGGGGUGAAAGGCCAAUCAAACUGGGAAAUAGCUCGUACUCCCCGAAAUGUUUUUAGGAACAGCGUGGGGUUUAUUCUAACGGAGGUAGAGCUACCGAUAGGACUAGGGGGAGUCACAUCCUACCAAAUCCUGACGAACUCCGAAUGCCGUUAGAUUUGCCCUGCAGUGAGGGUCAGGGUGCUAAGGUCCUGAUCCGAGAGGGAAAGAACCCAGACCUACAGCUAAGGUCCCUAAAUCUGUGUUAAGUUGAACUAAGGCGGUCCAGUUGCAGAGACAGCCAGGAUGUUGGCUUGGAAGCAGCCAUUCAUUUAAAGAGUGCGUAACAGCUCACUGGUCGAGCG